UACGUAGGCAGCAAGCGUUGUUCGGAAUUACUGGGCGUAAAGAGUGCGUAGGUGGUUGGCUAAGUUUGGUGUGAAAUCUCCCGGCUUAACUGGGAGGGUGCGCCGAAAACUGGUUGACUAGAGUGUGGGAGAGGGACGUGGAAUUCCUGGUGUAGCGGUGAAAUGCGUAGAUAUCAGGAGGAACACCUGCGGUGUAGACGGCGUCCUGGACCAUGACUGGCACUGAGGCACGAAAGCGUGGGGAGCAAACAAGAUUAGAUACCCCGGUAGU
rnacentral:rRNA from 1 species